GAGUUUGAUCCUGGCUCAGAGUGAACGCUGGCGGCAGGCCUAACACAUGCAAGUCGAACGGCAGCGCAGCAGUAGCAAUACUGUGGGCGGCGAGUGGCGGACGGGUGAGGAAUACAUCGGAAUCUACCUUGUCGUGGGGGAUAACGUAGGGAAACUUACGCUAAUACCGCAUACGACCUACGGGUGAAAGCGGCGGACCGCAAGGCGUCGCGCGAUUGGAUGAGCCGAUGUCCGAUUAGCUAGUUGGCGGGGUAAAAGCCCACCAAGGCGACGAUCGGUAGCUGGUCUGAGAGGAAGAUCAGCCACACUGGGACUGAGACACGGCCCAGACUCCUACGGGAGGCAGCAGUGGGGAAUAUUGGACAAUGGGGGAAACCCUGAUCCAGCGACGCCGCGUGGGUGAAGAAGGCCUGCGGGUUGUAAAGCCCUUUCGGUAGGGACGAAAGCUCUCGACCUAACACGUCGGGAGGUUGACUUAACCUACAAAGAAGCACCGGCUAACUCUGUGCCAGCCGCCGCAGUAAG
rnacentral:rRNA from 1 species